rfam:Geofilum rubicundum JCM 15548 DNA, contig: JCM15548.contig00073.
GGAGUAAAACUUGCCAUGAGAAGUCAGCAGAGGCCAUAGUACCACUAAACUCCUCAAGGUGGGAAGGGC